AGUUUCUCAGAGGUGUGCGGCAGCAGAGCGUGGUGUUGCACGAUGACUGAUGUGUGGGUUUUAUGCAGUGCUUGCCAGCAAAGAUGCAGAUUGGGGUUGGUUGCUGUUCUUCACAUUAAACUGUCCCAGAUGCCUCAUGGAGGUACUUAUUCUCUUUCAUUCUGCAAAUGAACUCAAAUAGUUAUGGGAAAAGUUAUGAGUCCUACAGUUGGACAUUUCAACAUUGUGUUUCCUACCAUGGAAAAUGGUAGCUCAGAGGCAGAAGUUACAACCAACAAGACGCAUAGUUGGGAGAGAACAUGCUCUACCAUGAAAACAAAACAUGGAUGCUAAUACCAGAGAUGUUUGGAAACAGUGAUUUAAGGAAAUAGUUCCACAAGCAGCAGACCUUUGAAAUAGCCUUUUGAUUGAGCCAUGGUACUUCCUUCUCCUUUUUGUUUGACCUGGAAGGGACAACAGAUGUUGCAUGUUGUCCAGACCUGCAUGUGUGACUGAGCAGUCAAUACUUCUUCAAGAAACAAACCCAAAUAAAUGCCAUGUACCUCUGAUGUUGGUGAACUGAAAAAGUGCCUUUCCAGGCUACAUGCAACCUCAAUACAUGCUUAAUAUUUAUGCAGGCCCCUUGUAAAAAGUUGUUUCCAUUAAAAGCCCUACCCUGUUAUCAGAUUUGGAUGAAGCUGGACAAAAUGCUUUCAUGAAGUUCACAUAAGCCUUGUUUCCCUGAGAAAUAAGCAAAAAUCUGUAAACUGUAUGUGAAGAUGUUUCCAGAAUUCUUGGAAAACUUGAACUAGUUCAAGCAUAUCAACAAAGAAAGAGGAUCAAGGAAGGUGUUUGGGCAGAAGGAUUUGGUUGCUCACAUGGGCAGCUGAUUCAGCCUUAGGACAUCAUUCUUCAUGGUGAGAACUUCUAAAUAGCUCCUAGUGUCAAAACUGAACCUGUGAGCUUCCUGUUCUAUUUCUACUCUGUGCAGAAGCCUCCGCUGCUGUUACUGCUUUCCUCACCAGUGUAGUUACCAUUUCUCUACUUUGUGACACCUCAACUUUCUCUUUGAGCUCAGGAUGCUGACAUUCUGCAGGAGGCUCUCAGCUGGGCCCUGAACUGGUGCUGCAAUGGUUAGCAGUGUUAUCAUGAAGAUCAUUUCUAACAUAAAAGGUACAUGCAAAAAAGGUAUUUGCUCAUUUUUUAAUAUAAAAGGUAAAUGCAAAACUCUUAUGACAUUGAAUAACUGUCACUGGAACUUAAUUUGGAUAAAUACCCUAAGGUGAAGCUUUCAUCUUAACUAGAGGUGAAUGAACUUAUUACGAGCAGCAUCCCAUUUUUGAGAGGUUUAUAUUUGCAUCCAUGAGCCUAUCUGUGAUCUUUAAUCUUUUGAGUCUGCAAAUUUUGGCUGGAGAAUUUCCAGAAAAGAAGUAUUGCACCUCCCACUGUGAGUUAUACAGGAAAAGUCUUGCUCUGGAGACUUUGGAGGGGCAGUCUAUCCAAAUCCCACAGAACUUGGGAUGGAUCUUACUCUGAAGGCAGAUAAAAGUGUUGAAAUCUCAGCUGGGUAUGUCUGCAUACACUUCCGUCAUACUUUUGAUUAGAAUGAGAUAUAACCUGAGAGUUCGGCCUGUCGUAGCCUGUGGUUUCUAGUCUAGCAAGUCACAACUUUGUGCAAUGUAGACAUAUAUCCCUACAUGGAUAACACCAAUGCAGUUCAACAAUGCCGAGUUCCCCCUGGGCACAAGCUAAUGAAGGUGAAUCAGAGCUUCAUGAUAACUUGAAAUGUGCUAACAAACACAGGCAAUGGGCUACCUCCUUUGCAAACAGCUUUUUCUAUUUCUGGCUGUGUUCCCCAUGUACCAGACAAGCCAGUUUUCUGCAUAUUUUCAUCUGGUGCUGUGCACUCCACUCUGGGAAUUCCUCCCAAUGUGAAGCUUACCUGACCUUGCAGAAAAGGUGUCUGGUACCAACAAUAAAAUAGACUUUGCAGCUGCAACUGCUAUUAGGUUUGCAUGCUAAUCGGCUAAAGGUAUUGUAAAUGCACAAGACCCAUAGAAAAAACACUUAACGUCAUUAUGAGAGAAACACAGUGAGCAAAGCAUGUCACCAUGUCACAUGAUGAAGUAAAAGACUAUAUUAACAGUGUAAACAACUGUUGUUCCAUGUAUUCCCCUUGUAUUUGUGUAUGUAUGUCUGAGAUUUUCUGGUAUGUUUAACUAUUC